CCUACGGGUGGCAGCAGUGGGGAAUAUUGCACAAUGGGGGAAACCCUGAUGCAGCGACGCCGCGUGAGUGAAGAAGUAAUUCGUUAUGUAAAGCUCUAUCAGCAGGGAAGUAAAUGACGUUACCUGAAUAGCAAUCCCCGUCUAACUCCGUGCCAGCAGCCGCGGUAAUACGUAGGGUGCAAGCGUUAUCCGGAUUUACUGGGUGUAAAGGGAGCGUAGACGGCAUGGCAAGUCUGGAGUGAAAGGGGGGGGCUCAACCCCGGGAUUGCAGCGGAAACUGUCGGGCUGGAGUGCAGGAGAGGUAAGUGGAAUUCGUCGUGUAGCGGUGAAAUGCUUAGAUAUUAGGAGGAACCCCAGUGGCGAAGGCGGCUUACUGCACUGUAACUGACGUUGAGGCUCGAAAGCGUGGGGAGCAAACAGGAUUAGAUACCCUUGUAGUC
rnacentral:rRNA from 1 species